rnacentral:sRNA from 1 species
UAAGUAGUGCUACUGACGAGACUGAUCA